AGAGUUUGAUCCUGGCUCAGGACGAACGCUGGCGGCGUGCCUAACACAUGCAAGUCGAACGGAGCACUUCGGUGCUUAGUGGCGAACGGGUGAGUAACGCGUGAGAAACCUGCCUUUCAGUGGGGGACAACAGUUGGAAACGACUGCUAAUACCGCAUAGUGUCAUUUGGGGGCAUCCUCGAAUGACCAAAGAUUUAUUGCUGAAAGAUGGUCUUGCGUCUGAUUAGCUAGAUGGCGGGGUAACGGCCCACCAUGGCGACGAUCAGUAGCCGGUCUGAGAGGAUGAACGGCCACAUUGGGACUGAGAUACGGCCCAGACUCCUACGGGAGGCAGCAGUGGGGAAUAUUGGGCAAUGGGGGAAACCCUGACCCAGCAACGCCGCGUGAAGGAAGAAGGCCCUCGGGUUGUAAACUUCUUUUACCAGGGACGAACAAAAUGACGGUACCUGGAGAAAAAGCAACGGCUAACUACGUGCCAGCAGCCGCGGUAAUACGUAGGUUGCAAGCGUUGUCCGGAUUUACUGGGUGUAAAGGGCGUGUAGGCGGAGAUGCAAGUUGGGAGUGAAAUCCCGGGGCUCAACCCCGGAACUGCUUUCAAAACUGUAUCCCUUGAGUGUCGGAGAGGCAAGCGGAAUUCCUAGUGUAGCGGUGAAAUGCGUAGAUAUUAGGAGGAACACCAGUGGCGAAGGCGGCUUGCUGGACGAUAACUGACGCUGAGGCGCGAAAGCGUGGGGAGCAAACAGGAUUAGAUACCCUGGUAGUCCACGCUGUAAACGAUGAAUACUAUGUGUGGGAAGACUGACCCCCUUCCGUGCCGCAGUUAACACAAUAAGUAUUCCACCUGGGGAGUAGGACCGCAAGGUUGAAACUCAAAGGAAUUGACGGGGGCCCGCACAAGCAGUGGAUUAUGUGGUUUAAUUCGACGCUACGCGAAGAACCUUACCAGGGUUUGACAUCCAACUAACGAAGUAGAGAUACAUUAGGUGCCCUUCGGGGAAAGUUGAGACAGGUGGUGCAUGGUUGUCGUCAGCUCGUGUCGUGAGAUGUUGGGUUAAGUCCCGCAACGAGCGCAACCCCUAUUGUUAGUUGCUACGCAAGAGCACUCUAGCGAGACUGCCGUUGACAAAACGGAGGAAGGCGGGGACGACGUCAAAUCAUCAUGCCCCUUAUAUCCUGGGCUACACACGUAAUACAAUGGUGGUUAACAGAGGGAAGCAAUAGAGCGAUCUGGAGCAAAUCCCUAAAAGCCAUCUCAGUUCGGAUUGCAGGCUGCAACUCGCCUGCAUGAAGCUGGAAUUGCUAGUAAUCGCGGAUCAGCAUGCCGCGGUGAAUACGUUCCCGGGCCUUGCACAAACGGCCCGUCA
rnacentral:rRNA from 1 species